rnacentral:rRNA from 1 species
UACGAAGGGGGCUAGCGUUGCUCGGAAUCACUGGGCGUAAAGCGCACGUAGGCGGCUUUUUAAGUCAGGGGUGAAAUCCUGGAGCUCAACUCCAGAACUGCCUUUGAUACUGGGAAGCUUGAGUCCGGAAGAGGUGAGUGGAACUCCGAGUGUAGAGGUGAAAUUCGUAGAUAUUCGGAAGAACACCAGUGGCGAAGGCGGCUCACUGGUCCGGUACUGACGCUGAGGCGCGAAAGCUAGGGGAGCGAACAGG